rnacentral:rRNA from 1 species
UACGGGGGGGGCAAGCGGUUGUUCGGAAUUACUGGGCGUAAAGGGUUCGUAGGUGGCCAACUAAGUCAGACGUGAAAUCCCUCAGCUCAACUGGGGAACUGCGUCUGAUACUGGUUGGCUUGAGUGCAGGAGAGGAACGCGGAAUUCCAGGUGUAGCGGUGAAAUGCGUAGAUAUCUGGAGGAACACCGGUGGCGAAGGCGGCGUUCUGGACUGUAACUGACACUGAUGAACGAAAGCCAGGGGAGCAAACAGGG